rnacentral:rRNA from 1 species
GACGAACGCUGGCGGCGUGCUUAACACAUGCAAGUCGAACGGAAAGGCCCCUUUGGGGGUACUCGAGUGGCGAACGGGGGAGUAACACGAGAGUAACCUGCCCAUGACUUCGGGAUAACUUCAGGUAACUGGGGCUAAUACCGGAAAGGAAUCCUUGCUUCAUGGGGGGGGUUGGAAAGCUUCGGCGGUUUUGGGUGGACUCGCGGCUUAUCAGCUUGUUGGUGGGGUAGUGGCUUACCAAGGCUUUGACGGGUAGCAGGCCUGAGAGGGCGACCGGCCACAUUGGCACUGAGAUACGGCCCAGACUCCUACGGGAGGCAGCAGUGGGGAAGAUUGCCCAAUGGGCGGCAGCCGGAUGCAGCAACGCCGCGGGCGGGAGGACGGCCUUCGGGUUGUAAACCGCUUUCAGCAGGGGCGAAGCUUGUGGUGACGGUACCUGCAGAAGAAGCACCGGCUAACUACGUG